CACGUAGGGUGCGAGCGUUGUCCGGAAUUACUGGGCGUAAAGGGCGCGUAGGCGGCGUGUCAAGUCAGGCGUGAAAGCCCCGGGCUCAACCUGGGAACCGCGCUUGAGACUGGCAUGCUCGAGUUCGGGAGAGGAUGGUGGAAUUCCCAGUGUAGAGGUGAAAUUCGUAGAUAUUGGGAAGAACACCGAUGGCGAAGGCAGCCAUCUGGACCGACACUGACGCUGAGGCGCGAAAGCGUGGGGAGCAAACAGG
rnacentral:rRNA from 1 species